CCCCUUUUCUCUUCAUCUCCACAAGCCCUCGUUGGGAGCCUCUCUAGUAGCCGGCUUGCAGCUCCCCCAAAGAUCGAGCCUGUGCGCCCGAGGCCACCUCCCGGCGCUGCCUCGCCCUACCUCCUCCAAUCGCAUCGGCAAAGGAGCUCCUCUGCCCCAGGCCAGCCAGCGCCCCUCUCCUCCUCUCCUCUCUCGGCUUUCCCUUCUCCUUCUAUCUAAUCUCUCUCUCUCUCCUUUUCGAAAAAAUCUAAUCUCCCUCUCACGCGUUUUCUCCGAGAGCCGCCAUGGAACAACCGCAGCACCCACCUUGGAGAUCGCCGCCUCCGGCUACCUCUCCAUCUUGGUCCGGAUCUGUUCCAUCCCGCUGCCAGAGCAGCUGGAUCCGCCUCGGCCCAGCUCGCCCGUGAAGCCGUUGUCCCGUCUCUCCUCUCUGCCUUACUGUGCAGGCCACCGCCAUCGCUGGCGGGCGUUGAUACAUCAUUUGGUCGUUGGUGUACCUCUCUUUGGUUCCUUCCUUCCUCGCUGAUACCCAGCAGGCUACCUCCGGCCACCUCUCCAUCUCGAUCCGGAUCUGCUCCGUCCAGCCGUCGGAGCAGCCAGAUCCGCCUCCGGCCUAUUCUUCUUUGUAUCUCAUGGGAAGGAGAAGGAGGCGCAGGCACCAUGGAAGGUGCGAGCUCGCGUCGCGUGCAAGCAGGGAUGUGAUGGCGCGAAGUGGCUGCGGAGGAGGAGGGCGACGCGAGGGAUAUGGACAGAGGAGACGGAGCUGGCUGCGGCUGGAGUAGCGACACUCCGUGCGAUGGCCAGUUAUUUUUUUAACAAAACGGUCCGGAUCAACUAAAAUAAAAUAGGCACUGCAGGUUAAUUUUAGAAAACUGUAGGGACUAUUUAAAAAAGGCGUGACGGUGAACCCAGAGACUCAAUCCGUGCUUUAUUAUUAGGGAGAGAUAAGAAACCUAAUGUGGUUCUAAUCUUCUCCCUCUAAUUCUCCAACGACGAUUAGUUUUGCAUGGCGAAGCGCUGCCGGAUUGUGAAGGUUGCACGCUUGCAACCAAGUAGAGAGGUCGUGCUUUUGGUCUUUGGUUCGAGGGACUGUUCAUGGGCGGUACGAGGGAUCAUUCAUCGGCGGUUUGAGGGACUUCAAGUACGAUCUACACCGACAUGUUCUUCCCUCGCUGCAACUCGGUGACGGUAACGAUGGAUGCAAGAUGGAAGAAGUGGCCAGAAAGGGACAAGAGGGAAUGAAACUUCUUGCUGAACUUGCAAAGGAGGCUGCUAUCAUGGGAAACCUAGGUCUAUAAGUCUAUGAGGAGUUUGAUAUUUACACACAAAGUCGACCCCUAAAAAUGAAGUUCUUCGACUGAAGACUU